rnacentral:misc_RNA from 1 species
GUCUAUUUCGCGCUGAUCAUCAUCGCCGCCGUGCUGGUGCUGACGCCGGGAACACCGCUCGGACUACUGACCAACGCUGUGCAGACCCGGGCGGGUGUGCUGCUGCCGAGCGCGACGGUAUUCCUGCUUCUGCUGUGCAACGAUAAGGCGGUGCUUGGCCCCUGGGCGAAUUCGCGGAUGCUCAACCUCUUUACCGGAGCCGUGGUCGCGGUUCUUGUGAUGCUCUCGAUCAUUCUCACCGCUUCCGUGCUCUUUCCGGACAUCAGCGAGCAAUGGAUCGUCGGCAUCCUGGUUGGCGGAAGCAUUCUGGGCAUCCUGAUCACAAUCGGC